rnacentral:rRNA from 1 species
GAUGAACGCUAGCGGGAGGCCUAACACAUGCAAGCCGAGCGGUAUUGUUUCUUCGGAAAUGAGAGAGCGGCGUACGGGUGCAGAACACGUGUGCAACCUGCCUUUAUCUGGGGGAUAGCCUUUCGAAAGGAAGAUUAAUACUCCAUAAUAUAUUGAACGGCAUCGUUUAAUAUUGAAAGCUCCGGCGGAUAGAGAUGGGCACGCGCAAGAUUAGCUAGUUGGUGAGGUAACGGCUCACCAAGGCGAUGAGCUGUAGGGGGCCUGAGAGGGUGAUCCCCCGCACUGGUACUGAGACACGGACCAGACUCCUACGGGAGGCAGCAGUGAGGAAUAUUGGUCAAUGGGUGCAAGCCUGAACCAGCCAUCCCGCGUGAAGGACGACUGCCCUAUGGGUUGUAAACUUCUUUUGUAUAGGGAUAAACCUACCCUCGUGAGGGUAGCUGAAGGUACUAUACGAAUAAGCACCGGCUAACUCCGUGCCAGCAGCCGCAGUAACAC